GUGGGGAAUCUUAGACAAUGGGGGAAACCCUGAUCUAGCCAUGCCGCGUGAUCGAUGAAGGCCUUAGGGUUGUAAAGAUCUUUCAGGUGGGAAGAUAAUGACUGUACCACCAGAAGAAGCCCCGGCUAACUCCGUGCCAGCAGCCGCGGUAAUACGGAGGGGGCUAGCGUUGUUCGGAAUUACUGGGCGUAAAGCGCACGUAGGCGGAUUGGAAAGUUGGGGGUGAAAUCCCGGGGCUCAACCCCGGAACUGCCUUCAAAACUCCCAGUCUUGAGGUCGAGAGAGGUGAGUGGAAUUCCGAGUGUAGAGGUGAAAUUCGUAGAUAUUCGGAGGAACACCAGUGGCGAAGGCGGCUCACUGGCUCGAUACUGACGCUGAGGUGCGAAAGCGUGGGGAGCAAACAGGAUUAGAUACCCCAGUAGUCC
rnacentral:rRNA from 1 species